UUCGCACCACGAUUGCUGAAUUCUGCACUGCCUGAGAGAGUGACAAGCAAGCAUGAAGGCAUGAGCUAGUCUCGCUCUGUCACCAGGGCUGCUGUGCAGUGGCAGAGUCUCGGCUCACUGCAACCUCCAUCUCCCAGGCUCAAGCAAUUCUUCUGCCUCAGCCUCCCACUAGAGAGACUGUCGUGCAGGAUUUGGAGCAUGGAGGUGAAGCAUUAGUCAUUCUGCGGCCCAUAUACAUUGCUGGUGAUCAGCUGACUCCCUGCUUGGUGUGAGGUAGUGGCUUGGUCUGUAAUUGCUCUGU